rnacentral:rRNA from 1 species
GUCGAACGAAGUAGCAAUACUUAGUGGCAGACGGGUGAGUAACAUGUAGGUAUCUGCCCUUUGGCCUGGAAUAACACGAGGAAACUUGUGCUAAUACCGGAUAAGUCUUUACGGAGAAAGCUUUAUGCACCAUUGGAUGAGCCUGCACUUGAUUAGUUUGUUGGUGGGGUAAUGGCCUACCAAGACUGUGAUCAAUAGCUGAUUUGAGAGGAUGAUCAGCCACAUUGGGACUGAGACACGGCCCAAACUCCUACGGGAGGCAGCAGUGGGGAAUCUUGCACAAUGGAGGAAACUCUGAUGCAGCGAUGCCGCGUGAGUGAAGAAGGCCCUUGGGUUGUAAAGCUCUUCCGUCGGGGAAGAAAAUGACUGUACCCGAAUAAGAAGGUCCGGCUAACUUCGUGCCAGCAGCCGCGGUAAUACGAAGGGACCUAGCGUAGUUCGGAAUUACUGGGCUUAAAGAGUUCGUAGGUGGUUGAAAAAGUUAGUGGUGAAAUCCCAGAGCUUAACUCUGGAACUGCCAUUAAAACUUUUCAGCUAGAGUAUGAUAGAGGGAAGCAGAAUUUCUAGUGUAGAGGUGAAAUUCGUAGAUAUUAGAAAGAAUACCAAUUGCGAAGGCAGCUUUCUGGAUCAUUACUGACACUGAGGAACGAAAGCAUGGGUAGCGAAGAGGAUUAGAUACCCUCGUAGUCCAUGCCGUAAACGAUGUGUGUUAGACGUUGGAAAUUUAUUUUCAGUGUCGCAGCGAAAGCGAUAAACACACCGCCUGGGGAGUACGACCGCAAGGUUAAAACUCAAAUGAAUUGACGGGGACCCGCACAAGUAGUGGAGCAUGUGGU